rnacentral:rRNA from 1 species
GUGCCAGCAGCCGCGGUAAUGCGUAGGGUCCAAGCGUUAAUCGGAAUUACUGGGCGUAAAGCGUGCGCAGGCGGUUGUGCAAGACCGAUGUGAAAUCCCCGGGCUUAACCUGGGAAUCGCAUUGGUGACUGCACGGCUAGAGUGUGUCAGAGGGGGGUAGAAUUCCACGUGUAGCAGUGAAAUGCGUAGAGAUGUGGAGGAAUACCGAUGGCGAAGGCAGCCCCCUGGGAUAACACUGACGCUCAUGCACGAAAGCGUGGGGGGCAAACAGGAUUAGAUACCCUGGUAGUCCACGCCCUAAACGAUGUCAACUAGUUGUUGGGGAUUCAUUUCCUUAGUAACGUAGCUAACGCGUGAAGUUGGCCGCCUGGGGAGUACGGUCGCAAGAUUAAAACUCAAAGAAUAGUGCGUGAGACUAGCGACGAGACACAGGAGGUAG